rnacentral:rRNA from 1 species
CCUACGGGGGGCAGCAGUGAGGAAUAUUGGUCAAUGGCCGUAAGCCUGAACCAGCCAAGUAGCGUGAGGGAAGACUGCCCUAUGGGUUGUAAACCUCUUUUGUGCGGGGAUAAAGGUGUCCACGUGUGGAUUUUUGCAGGUACCUUAUGAAUAAGGACCGGUCAAUCUCGGUCCAGCAGCCGCGGGAAUAUGGUAGGUCCGGACGUUACCCGGGUUUAUUGGGGUUAAAGGGAGGGUAGGCCGGUCUGUAAGGUUGCCGUGAAAUUUUCGGGCCCAACCCUGGCAGUGCGGUGCAAACUGGCGACCUUGAGUGCGCGAGAGGCAGGCGGAAUUCGUGGUGUAGCGGUGAAAUGCUUAGAUAUCACGAAGAACCCCGAUUGCGAAGGCAGCCUGCCGCCGCGUUACUGACGCUGAAGCUCGAAAGCGCGGGUAUCGAACAGGAUUAGAUACCCUGGUAGUC